GAUGAACGCUGACAGAAUGCUUAACACAUGCAAGUCGAUGGGGAAGUGGUGCUUGCACCAUGGUAACCAUGGCGGACGGGUGAGUAACGCGUAAGGAACUUACCUGCGGGACCGGGAUAACAGCAGGAAACUGCUGACAAGACCGGAUAAGGUCAUUAAGCUGCAUAGCUUAGUGAUGAAAGGAGACGCCUGCGGAGAGCCUUGCGUCCUAUUAGCUAGUUGGAGGGGUAACGGCCCACCAAGGCGAAGAUAGGUAGCCGGCCUGAGAGGGUGGACGGCCACAAGGGGACUGAGAUACGGCCAUUACUCCUACGGGAGGCAGCAGUGGGUAAUAUUGGACAAUGGGGGCAACCCUGAUCCAGCAAUUCUGUGUGCACGAAGACGGUUUUCGGAUUGUAAAGUGCUUUCAGCAGGGAAGAAGGAAGUGACGGUACCUGCAGAAGAAGCGACGGCUAAAUACGUG
rnacentral:rRNA from 1 species